rnacentral:pre_miRNA from 1 species
AGCAUACUCCCUCCGUCCGGAAAUACUUGCCAUCAAAAUGAAUAAAAGGAGAUGUAUCUAGACAUAUUUUAGUUCUAGAUACAUCCCUUUUUAUCCAUUUUGAUGACAAGUAUAUUCGGACGGAGGGAGUACUAA